rnacentral:tRNA from 1 species
GGGGUUGUAGCUCAGUGGAAGAGCGCUUGCCUAGCAUGUGUGAGGCACUGGGUUCGAUUCUCAGCACCA